rnacentral:tRNA from 1 species
GCAGUGGUGGUUCAGUGGUAGAAUUAGUGCCUUCCGUGUGAGAGACCCAGGUUCGAUUCCUGGCCAAUGCA